UCAAACAACAUUCGACGUCAAUCAUAAUCUCACACUUUCAGGUGACACUAUAACCACUUGUUUAAAAGUUGGCGUUUUGUCAAUCAAAGAAGGAUUUUAUUUUUAAUUGUGGGGGUGUAUCAGUAGCUUUCAUUUUCAUGAUAAAUUAUGACUGCAAUAAUCCGAGGCCCAUUUUCAGCAGAGCUGAAAAAUUGAAGGGUCAGUUUGGACAUCUGUAUGUGGUGGUCAUCCUUCCAACAAAGGAGGAGCAGAAUGACUCUUUUUUGUACACUCGUAUUUUAGGUGAUCAUAAAAAACUGUCACACUCUCUUAUCUUUCA